rnacentral:lncRNA from 1 species
UACGUUCUCCUAUUUAUUUGUAUUGUAGUCCUGUAAUAUUCUGUUGUCAUUUUAAUGUUAAUAUAUUUAACAUUGCCAUUAAAGUACGAGGUUUGGCAUGCCACAAAACCAGGUUCAACCCACCAUUUUUUUUUUUAAAAAUGUCCUGUACCAAGUCAGGAAUAUGGCCAUUGUUAUAUUAUAGUUCGUUUCUGUGUUACAUUUUAACGUUGUGUUUCCGCUGUGUCGUUUGUUUUCUCUUAUUUUUUAGUGUGAAUCCACAUUACUAUAAGACGUGUCACGGUACUUAUAUAUCCCAAAUUCAUGUAUUUGAUUUUGAUGUUAUAUUUGUUAUUCUCAUAGGAUUUUGUCUAAUGCUUAGUCCGUUUCUGUGUGUGUUACAUUUUAAUGUUGUGUCGUUGUGCUCCUCUUAUAUUUAAUGCGUUUCCCUCAGUUUUAUUUUG